UAAACUCUAUUAUACUUCAUAUUACACUUAACAAUCCAGUAAGCAACCUACCAAUCAUACAGGCUACAAUUAGCAAAUUAGCAAAUUGAACUUUUUUCCAUUAAGCAAAAUCAUUCAUACAUCUAUCGCUUAAUUUGCACAUCACAUUCUUCUAAAAACCAAAAUGGUAUCAUUGUCUAAUACAAGCAAUAACUAGUAAGAAACAACAAAUUGAUAAGGACACAAUCAUUAUCAAUUUCAACAUUCCUAUUGUGCCUUCAAUCAAGUUCAUUGUCGCAUAUAGCUGCAAGAGGACCUCACUAUUGUUCUCUUCCAAACUUCCCUCACUAUUGUUCAUUCUUAGAGGAAACCCACUACUUGAGUCCACUCUUGCUUCUAGGCUUUGAUAGGUAGAUUCAUUGCCAAUUAGAUUGUUUCUUAUCAGAUUACACCAUAACGAAAAGAAGCGGGAAUUACUUUCACAAUCAUAAUACAACAUUUCUUUCAUGGGUUUAUCUAACUCGAUAGUCUUGAUUUUUGUUCUAUUUUUGCACAAGCACUAUCACUACUGGUACCUCAAAUCCCUUGAUCCUCCUCUAGAAUUUGCAUAAGUAGACAUGUUGUAUUUCAGAUCUCCUUCUUCCUUAUACCUCUGAAUUCUUCAUCUCUUUUCAUUUCAGGCAUUGAUUUUUCUUUCUUUCUAUCUCCAACGGCUGCAAUGGAGGCUAAAAAGCUCUUUUGCCCUAAUAUCUUUCUU
rnacentral:lncRNA from 1 species